GAUGAACGCUGGCGGCGUGCCUAAUACAUGCCAGUCGAGCGAACAGACGAGGAGCUUGCUCCUCUGACGUUAGCGGCGGACGGGUGAGUAACACGUGGAUAACCUACCUAUAAGACUGGGAUAACUUCGGGAAACCGGAGCUAAUACCGGAUAAUAUAUUGAACCGCAUGGUUCAAUAGUGAAAGACGGUCUUGCUGUCACUUAUAGAUGGAUCCGCGCCGCAUUAGCUAGUUGGUAAGGUAACGGCUUACCAAGGCAACGAUGCGUAGCCGACCUGAGAGGGUGAUCGGCCACACUGGAACUGAGACACGGUCCAGACUCCUACGGGAGGCAGCAGUAGGGAAUCUUCCGCAAUGGGCGAAAGCUUGACGGAGCAACGCCGCGUGAGUGAUGAAGGUCUUCGGAUCGUAAAACUCUGUUAUUAGGGAAGAACAAAUGUGUAAGUAACUAUGCACGUCUUGACGGUACCUAAUCAGAAAGCCACGGCUAACUACGUG
rnacentral:rRNA from 1 species